GACGAACCGUGCGAACGUUGUUCGGAAUCACUGGGCAUAAAGGGCGCGUAGGCGGCUUAUCAAGUCAGGGGUGAAAUCCGGCAGCUCAACUGUCGAAGUGCCCUUGAUACUGACGAGCUCGAGGGAGGUAGGGGUGUGUGGAACUUCCGGCGGAGCGGUGAAAUGCGUAGAUAUCCGGAGGAAUACCAAAGGCGAAGGCAGUGUCCUGGCUGGCAUCUGACGCUGAGGCGCGAAAGCUAGGGGAGCGAACAGG
rnacentral:rRNA from 1 species